AUGAAAUCCGUGGGAGGCGGGACACGAAGCGAGCCAUUCAUGGCUUCUUUGCUUAGCUACACUUGUUGGCUUUUUUUCUCAUUGAUGGACAAUGGAUGGAAGGUCAAUGAGUCCGUCUGGCUCAACGGGACUGGCACUGUGCUCUACUUUGUCUAUCUGAUGAUGUUUCUUUGCUACACGGACGAAGCCCAUCGAUGGAUCACAAUCGAGAGGUGGGUUCCCGGUGCUGUGUUUUACCUGUUUUUCAUAGCAAUCUUUGGAGUUCUGGCCGAGUGGACCUCGGUCGUCAAGGUGAUGUGCACGCUCGCUGGACUGGCCUCCGGGUGCACAUCACUCGUGCUGGCUGUGUCUGUGCUCGAGAGGAAGUUGGAGUCCUUGCCUGAUUGUGUGUCCACGACAGUGAGCCUACUUCACUAUUGCGUGUGGAUCACUCGUGACGCUAUCGACCCAAGAGAUUACUUUGAUAUGGUAAGUGGCUACAAAUUCCCCCUUAAUUAA
rnacentral:rRNA from 1 species